AACGAACGCUGGCGGCAGGCUUAACACAUGCAAGUCGAACGCCCCGCAAGGGGAGUGGCAGACGGGUGAGUAACGCGUGGGAAUCUACCCAUCCCUACGGAACAACUCCGGGAAACUGGAGCUAAUACCGUAUACGCCCUUAGGGGGAAAGAUUUAUCGGGGAUGGAUGAGCCCGCGUUGGAUUAGCUAGUUGGUGGGGUAAAGGCCUACCAAGGCGACGAUCCAUAGCUGGUCUGAGAGGAUGAUCAGCCACAUUGGGACUGAGACACGGCCCAAACUCCUACGGGAGGCAGCAGUGGGGAAUAUUGGACAAUGGGCGCAAGCCUGAUCCAGCCAUGCCGCGUGAGUGAUGAAGGCCUUAGGGUUGUAUAGCUCUUUCACCGAUGAAGAUAAUGACGGUAAUCGGAGAAGAAGCCCCGGCUAACUUCGUGCCAGCCGCCGCAGUAAAAC
rnacentral:rRNA from 1 species